UAGUACGGUCAGCAUAAUUAAUUACCCAUUCUUUCUUCAUCAUUGGCUGGCUUUUUGCUAAAAUGACUGAUUCAGUUUCUUAGGAGAGAUUGCUACCUGUGUUUCUGGAUAUGGAGGAUGCCUUAUUCCUUCAGGACCAGUAGCUGGUUAGUCUCAGAUGAAUUGCACCUAUGGAAGACACUUGACCAGUUUGUGCCCGAAUGCUGGAAGACUUUCAUUCUGGUUUGGUUUCCGAGUAAGCAGGGAAAAUCAGAGUUAUGCACAAAACCCUGGCUACUUUGAGAUAGUAAAAGUGGAAAACAAAGCCAUUGACCCAGAGGAUUCCACUGUGCUUUGAUGGAUCUUCUUUCUCUGCACGGAAUAAACUUAAGAAGAGGAACAGCAUUCUUUUCUGCUGACCUUGAGAUUUGAUUUGUGAUGGGAUUUUUGACUCAAAGCAGUACUCACUAAGAGACUUGGGAUAUAGUUCAGAUGGAAAAAUGCUUGCCUGACAAACACAAAGUUCGGGGUUCAGCCUACCCUAGGGCCAUUCUAGCACUUGGGAGGUGGAGGAAGGAGAAUCUGAGUUCAAGGUUGUUUUGGCUGCAGAGUUUGAGGGAAAUCUGGGAUACAUGAGAUUUUGCCUAAAAAAAGCAAUAAUUUAAAUAUCAUCAGGAGAUAAAGGUUAUGUGGACUGACAAUGCAAGAUAAUAACACACACACACACACAAGCAUGCACAUAUACACCAAAUUAUUGAGUGCUCCUGGCUUAAGCCAUUCAUUUUGGAAGUAGUAGCAUAUAUUACAAGUCAAGAUGGCCAGCUCCAUCACCCAGAGGAAGCAGUCAAAAAACCGCUACUGUGUGCCAGAGAGGUGGCUCAGCAAUUAAGCUCACUCUGGGCUCUUGCAGAGUGUUCUGCUCCAUGCAUACAGGGAGGCCCACAGCCACCUGUAACUCCAGCCUCAGGGAACACAAAUCCCUCUUCUCACUUCUGCAGGCACUGUGCUCACAUGCACAAAUUCACAUGCUCUCAUACACAUAUGCAUAAUAAAUUUUAGAAAAUCUUAAAAAUAUAUGUGUGAUUUUUACUUUUGUUUUUCAGUUGUAGGACACAAAUGCAUAAAAACUGCUUGUUAACAAGAGAAACAAUAGAAAACACACACCCCCAUGAGCACCUUAAAAUUAUGUUUUAAAUGUAGGUUUCAGAUAACACAUUUAUUACCACAAACUAUAAAUAGAUAGCAAAGGACUGAAUUCCUCGAAACAUAUCAAAUAUGUGAUAAGAAAUUGGGAGGUCUGAGAAGAUAGGUCAGCUGGUAAAGCGCAUCCCAAGAGAGCAUCCGGGAAAGUCUGGGUGUACCACCACACAUUUGUCACCACACAUUUGUCAUUGGGGAAGUGGAGGCAGAAAGAGCACUGGAAUUCUAGCCAAAUGAUGAGCUCCAUGUUCAGAGAGAGACCAUGUCUCAAAAAAUAAAAUAAAAUAAAAUAAAAUGGAAGGGCUAGAGAGAGGGCUUAGCAUUUAAGAGUACAUACUGAUCUUCCGUAGGACCCAGUGGUACCCGCACUCAUUUGCAUCCCCCAUAUACAAAGUUUAAAAUAAACUUACAGGUGGAGAAUGACUGAGGACAAUUCCUGAAAUAGACACCUUGCCUCUGGCAGCUGCUGAGCACAUGCAUGUGCUCACCUGCACGUAUGAACAUAUACAUGAAUACAUAAAUAAAAACAGAAAGAAUCAGGAAUUAAUAGAAGAUUUUGGAUAGUUUCUCAGACAGGUGUGUCUUCCACUCAAGGUCUUGAAUGGAGGAAAACAUUACAGUAAUGAUUAUUCUAGUAAUGCAAUUGACAUUUGACAUUCACUGAGCAUCUGUUGCGUACCAGGCAUAACAAUAAGAACUGCACAUACAAAGCCAGGGGUAAUCCUGCAUAGCUUUAGGAGCUGAAUUUUAUUUUAAACUGAUCUUUCAGAUAUGGGAAUAGAAUGUCAGAAGUGAACACACCUCUUGAUUUGUCCAACAUGAUACUGCUGGUCAGUUAUAGGGGAGGAAUUUGACCCUUGGUUCCCUAGCCAACACUUAAAAGGAGGUUGGCAGGUGAACUCAGUGUUUUCAUGCUCUAUGAAAAAAAUAAUAAAUAUUAGAUUGAAAAUAGUUAUUUUUUACUAUUGUUACAAGUCUGACUUAACCUAGAUUUGCAAAAGACCCAAGGGAAUAUAUUAACAGAAAGUUCUCUCAAUGAUUGAAGAUGUUAAAAAAAAAAUGAAACAGGCAUAUACACAAUAUUUACUACCUGAUAAGCAUAAGCUAUGCUGUCUUACAUGUUUGUGUGUGCUCAGUUUUUUUCACCCAUCCACCAUAGAGGGAAUUGGUUCAAUUACUUUUUAGUAAUUUAUGGUAAGUAUGAACAGAGAAUUAUGAAACAAAGAAGUUUAAGUUCAUGCCCAAGGUCAUAGAUGAGACUUUGAACACACAGGUAGUCAAGUUCCAGAUGCUGUGUUCUCAUUCACUGUGUCACCUUCUCCCAACCUUUGAGUACUUCUUAAGCAGGAACCUGUAGGAAUGAGAGAAAGAGCUAUGUACAGACUGAUAGCUGGCCUUUCUGGGAUGUGUUAUCAUGUGCCUGCAGUGUGUUUGCUGUGUUUCCAUGAAAUAGUCAUAACAUUGUCCCCAUCAUGGAUGAUGCCUCUGAAAUCCAGAUCAUCAAUGUCCAUGAUUCUACUUAAAGAGGAAGCUGGGAUUUGAAGACAGGGAUUCUAAUAUGGUAUAGCACUCUAUAUUGGGGUAAUGUUUCCAGCUCUGAUUAUAUUUAAUAAAAUUCUCACACACACAAAGUUUUAGGAAAGAAAUUGCUCUACUCAGCUUAUUUCAUAAAUGCAGGUGGUCCCAGCACUAUGUACAACUCACACUAAUUUUAAGAGAAGCAGCCAUUCCCAGACUGUUCCUAAGACUUUUCUAUCUAGAAGCAAGUAGUUUCAAACCUUUUAGCAUCCUCUUGGUACUUAUAACAUAGCUCUACAAGCCAUCCUCCUAUUCCUAUUUGGUUUUCAAGUUUCCAUUUCUAAGAAUCAUCUAUUGAUUUCCCACAUGGGAAAUAAAGCAGUAUUAUCCAUUUGCCCUCAUGUUUCUGUAAUGGUGUCUAUAUGACUUUCUUGUUAUGCUCAUUAUUUCCUAGGCAGUUGAUAAUUAUAUGUUUGUUUAUAUAUUGCUUAGCUUUUCAUUGUCUGUCAGUAGAGAAUCUCUAAGCUCUCCCUUGAUUGGCCAAUCUUCUUUUGAUAUGAUCAAUGAUAUUAAAGAUGCUAGUAUUCCUUACCUUCUCAAGGACAUCUCCCCUGAACAAGACUCUCUUAUUGCUUCUAUUUUGUACCUAUUGUUUUGGGGCCUUCUGCAGCAGCUUUUGCUGGAAUGUUCCUUUUAUUAUCUCCAUCAGAAAAAUAAAAACCUAUAUGUACCAUU